rnacentral:rRNA from 1 species
AUUGAACGCUGGCGGCAGGCCUAACACAUGCAAGUCGAGCGGAUGAGUGGAGCUUGCUCCAUGAUUCAGCGGCGGACGGGUGAGUAAUGCCUAGGAAUCGUGCCUGGUAGUGGGGGACAACGUUUUCGAAAGGAACGCUAAUACCGCAUACGUCCUACGGGAGAAAGUGGGGGAUCUUCGGACCUCACGCUAUCAGAUGAGCCUAGGUCGGAUUAGCUAGUUGGUGAGGUAAAGGCUCACCAAGGCGACGAUCCGUAACUGGUCUGAGAGGAUGAUCAGUCACACUGGAACUGAGACACGGUCCAGACUCCUACGGGAGGCAGCAGUGGGGAAUAUUGGACAAUGGGCGAAAGCCUGAUCCAGCCAUGCCGCGUGUGUGAAGAAGGUCUUCGGAUUGUAAAGCACUUUAAG